rnacentral:rRNA from 1 species
AUGCCGCCCAAGUCGGUUAAGAGGGGCGGCGCCGCGGCGGCGAGGAAGGGGUCGGCUACGAAGGCCAGACCGGCGAAGCCCCAGCCGGUCGCGGAGGAGGCGCCCGUCGAGGUGGUCAAGGCAGCGGAGGAGGCUCCCCCUAAGGUGGAGGAGCAGAAGCCACAGCCGUCGCCGCCACCACAGCAGCCGGCCGCCGAGGAGAAGGCCAAGGCGGAUGCCGCUGAGAACGGCGCAAGCCACGCUGAAGAUGAUGGAGCUGCAAAAGAAACAUAUGAAGAAGAGGACAAAGGUGAACGACUGGAGUUCGAGGAUGAGCCAGAAUAUGAAGAGGAGGCUGCUGUCGACUACGACGAGAAGGAUUUGGAGCAGUAUGAGGAGCAAUAUGAAGACGGCGAUGAAGGGUUGGAGUACACUGAAGAUGUAGUCGAAGAGGAGACUGAGAUGGUGGAUGAGGAGGAACUGGAUAAUGGUGGGGAUGAUGGCGAGUGUGAGGAAUAUGAAAAUGCAGAUGAAGACCACGAUGUGGACGUGGAGGACGAAGACCAUCAUGAAAUGGUGAAAGCACAUCGUAAGAGGAAGGAGUUUGAAGUUUUUGUUGGUGGGCUAGAUAAAGAUGCAACAGAAAGUGACCUGAGGAAAGUUUUCAGUGAAGUCGGCGAUAUCACUGAAGUUCGUUUGAUGAUGAACCCUGUUACGAAGAAGAAUAAAGGCUUUGCCUUCCUGCGAUAUGAGACUGUGGAGCAAGCAAAGCGUGCUGUUUCAGAUCUGAAAAAUCCGAUGGUGCGAGGUAAGCAAUGCGGUGUUGCUCCUAGUCGUGACAAUGAUACACUUUUUGUUGGCAAUAUCUGCAAGACAUGGACAAAAGAACAUCUGAAGGAGAAACUGAAGAUCUAUGAGGUCGAGAAUUUUGACGAUUUAAUAUUGGUUGAGGAUAGCAAUAACCCAGGGAUGAACCGUGGGUAUGCUUUACUUGAGUUUUCUACUCGCCCUGAAGCUAUGGAUGCUUUCAGGCGGUUGCAGAAGAGGGAUGUAGUCUUUGGAGUUGAUCGCACUGCUAAGGUUUCCUUUGCCGAUUCCUACCCUGAAGUCGAUGAUGAAAUGAUGGCACAGGUCAGAACUGUAUUUCUUGAUGGUCUCCCCCCGUCAUGGGAAGAAGAUCGUGUUAAGAAGUACCUUAAAAAGUAUGGAGCUAUCGAGAAAGUUGAACUUGCCCGAAACAUGCCCGCGGCCAAAAGAAAAGAUUUUGGGUUUGUUACUUUUAAUACGCAUGAUAAUGCUGUUGCAUGUGUUGAUGGGAUAACUAGUUCUGAGCUUGGCGAAGGUGACAGCAAGGCAAAAGUGAGAGCCAGAUUGUCAAGGCCAGUACAGAGACCUCCUAGAAUGAAGCAUGGAUUAAGAGGAAAUUUCAGGAUUGGGCAUAGUGCUCCUCGAGGCGGCCGUUUCCCAUACACUCGGCCUCCUCCACGCCGGCCUCUGCCACGUCUUGUACGGCCUGAUACUCGCUUACCUCCUAUCAGGAGGCCUCCACUGAAGAGGCCAAUAGAUAUUAGAGAUAGACGCCCUGUUAUGUCAAUACCAGAUAGAGUUAGGCGUUUGCCUCCUCCAGAGAGAUCCUAUGAUAGAAGGCCCCCAGCUCCUGUUUACCCAAAGAGAAGCCCAAGGAGGGAAUAUGGAAGGCGUGAUGAACCUCCUCCGCCAAGGAGCAGAGCUACCUUUGCUGCUGAUUACAGUGCAAGAGUUCCAGUUGAUAGGCGCCACACUUACAGGGACGACUAUUCGCCCCGUGAAUCAGCCUAUUCAGACCUAGCUCCUCGCAGCGCUCCCCGUUUUUCUGACAGGAGAGCAUAUGCUGAUGAUGGCUAUGUAGAGAAGAUUGACCGACCUUUGCCAACCUAUAGGGAGGGCCGUGGACGUGAUUAUGAUACAAUAUCUGGUUCAAAACGCUCAUAUGUUGAGAUGGAUGACGUGCCUCCUCGGUAUCACGACAUUAGCGUUCGUCAGCCCAAGGCACGCUUAGAUUAUGAUGUUGGUGGUAGCAGUGCUCGGUAUGCAGAUGCUUAUACUGAGAGGCUCGGGCGGUCACAUGUGGGAUACACUAGCAGCAGAUCUGUCGCUGGUCAUGACCCGGUGUAUAGCAGCAGCCGCCAUGGCUUGAGUUAUGGAGGUUCUGCGAGCACUGGAGAUGCUGGUGGAAACUACUCUUCAAAUUACAGUGCAGACUACAUGCCUCGUGGAUCUGAUGUUGGUGGAAGUUCAUAUUCAUCGCAUUACUCGGGUCGUAACACGGGCAGCAGCAGUGGCUACUUUGGCGGCAGUGGUUCCAGUUCGUACUACUAA